rnacentral:rRNA from 1 species
CCUACGGGCGGCAGCAGUGAGGAAUAUUGGUCAAUGGGCGCGAGCCUGAACCAGCCAAGUAGCGUGCAGGAUGACUGCCCUACGGGUUGUAAACUUCUUUUAUAAAGGAAUAAAGUGAGGCACGUGUGCUUCUUUGUGUGUACUUUAUGAAUAAGGAUCGGCUAACUCCGUGUCAGCAGCCGCGGUAAUACGGAGGAUCCGAGCGUUAUCCGGAUUUAUUGGGUGUAAAGGGAGCGCAGAUGGGUUGUUAAGUUAGUUGUGAAAGUUUGCGGCUCAACCGUAACAGUGCAAUUGAUACUGGCAGCCUUGAGUGCAGUAGAGGUAUGCGGAAUGCGUGGUGUAGCGGUGAAAUGCAUAGAUAUCACGAAGAACUCCGAUUGCGAAGGCAGCAUACU